rnacentral:misc_RNA from 1 species
GAUGAAGAACGCAGCGAAAUGCGAUAAGUAUUGUGAAUUGCAGAAUUCAGUGAAUCAUCGAAUCUUUGAACGCACAUUGCGCCCGUCAGUAUUCUGGCGGGCAUGCCUGUUCGAGCGUCAUUACGCCCCUCAAGUCCCCUGUGGACUUGGUGUUGGGGAUCGGCGAGGCUGGUUUUCCAGCACAGCCGUCCCUUAAAUUAAUUGGCGGUCUCGCCGUGGCCCUCCUCUGCGCAGUAGUAAAACACUCGCAACAGGAGCCCGGCGCGGUCCACUGCCGUAAAACCCCCCAACUUUUUAUAGUUGACCUCGAAUCAGGUAGGACUACCCGCUGAACUUAAGCAUAUCAAUAAGCGGAGGA